rnacentral:rRNA from 1 species
AGCGAACGCUGGCGGCAUGCUUUACACAUGCAAGUCGAACGGUAACAGGGGAGCUCGCUCCCGCUGACGAGUGGCGAACGGGUGAGUAAUGCAUCGGAACGUGCCGAAUAGUGGGGGAUAACGCACCGAAAGGUGUGCUAAUACCGCAUACGCCCUGAGGGGGAAAGUGGGGGACCGCAAGGCCUCACGCUAAUCGAGCGGCCGAUGUCGGAUUAGCUAGUUGGUGGGGUAAAGGCUCACCAAGGCGACGAUCCGUAGCGGGUCUGAGAGGAUGAUCCGCCACACUGGGACUGAGACACGGCCCAGACUCCUACGGGAGGCAGCAGUGGGGAAUUUUGGACAAUGGGGGAAACCCUGAUCCAGCCAUGCCGCGUGUCUGAAGAAGGCCUUCGGGUUGUAAAGGACUUUUGUCCGGGAGGAAACCCUGAUCGUUAAUAGCGGUCGGGACUGACAGUACCGGAAGAAUAAGCACCGGCUAACUACGUGCCAGCCGCCGCAGUAACAC